rnacentral:rRNA from 1 species
AUUGAACGCUGGCGGCAGGCCUAACACAUGCAAGUCGAACGAGUGGCGGACGGGUGAGUAAUGACUGGGAAACGGACCGAUGGAUGGGGAUAGCUACUGGACACGGUAGCUAAUACCGCACACCUUCGGAUGUGCCCAGAUAGGAUGAGCUAGGAGGUGGGGUAACGGCUCACAUAGGCGACGAUCCCUAGCUGGUCUGAGAGGAUGACCAGCCACACUGGAACUGAGACACGGUCCAGACUCCUACGGGAGGCAGCAGUGGGGAAUAUUGCACAAUGGGCGCAAGCCUGAUGCAGCCAUGCCGCGUGUAUGAAGAAGGCCUUCGGGUUGUAAAGUACUUUCAGCGAGGAGGCGUUACUCGCAGAAGAAGCACCGGCUAACUCCGUGCCAGCAGCCGCGGUAAUAC